CCCAAGGUCACAUGCCCUCCAGCCCGCCAAGAGGCGAUGAACUUGGCCAACAGGAAGACAAAGAAGAGAUUCAGGAUUCAAGCUCGUU